rnacentral:rRNA from 1 species
GAUGAACGCUGGCGGCGUGCUUAACACAUGCAAGUCGAACGAAGCAUUUAAGACAGAUUACUUCGGUUUGAAGUCUUUUACGACUGAGUGGCGGACGGGUGAGUAACGCGUGGGUAACCUGCCUCAUACAGGGGGAUAGCAGCUGGAAACGGCUGGUAAUACCGCAUAAGCGCACAGUACCACAUGGUACAGUGUGAAAAACUCCGGUGGUAUGAGAUGGACCCGCGUCUGAUUAGCUUGUUGGCGGGGUAACGGCCCACCAAGGCGACGAUCAGUAGCCGACCUGAGAGGGUGACCGGCCACAUUGGGACUGAGACACGGCCCAGACUCCUACGGGAGGCAGCAGUGGGGAAUAUUGCACAAUGGAGGAAACUCUGAUGCAGCGACGCCGCGUGAGUGAAGAAGUAGUUCGCUAUGUAAAGCUCUAUCAGCAGGGAAGAUAGUGACGGUACCUGACUAAGAAGCUCCGGCUAAAUACGU